GCGGAGCGGGCCGGGGCCGCCGCGGGGGAGGCGGCCGGAGCGGGCCGAGCCGCCGCGCCCGCUCCAUGGAGGCCGCGGCCGAGGCCCCGGGGGGGUCCGCGGCGCUCAGCUGCUUCUCCUACAACCAGGACUGCACCUCCCUGGCAAUUGGAACUACAACUGGAUACAGGCUUUUCUCCUUAAGUUCUGUGGAGCAACUGGACCAGGUCCAUGAAAGCAAUGAAAUCCCAGAUGUUUACAUUGUGGAGCGUCUGUUCUCCAGCAGCCUUGUGGUUGUGGUCAGUCAUGCCAAGCCACAGCAAAUGAAUGUCUACCACUUCAAGAAAGGGACAGAGAUCUGCAACUAUAGCUAUUCCAGUAACAUACUGUCCAUCCGGCUGAAUCGUCAGAGGCUGGUUGUUUGCCUAGAGGAGUCAAUUUACAUCCAUAACAUUAAGGACAUGAAGCUUUUGAAGACUAUUCUGGAUACGCCUCCAAAUACAACAGGUCUGUGCGCUCUCUCGAUCAACCACGCCAACUCCUACUUGGCUUAUCCCGGCAGCGCGACCAACGGAGAGAUCGCGCUUUACGACGGAAAUACUUUGAAAACAGCUUGCACGAUUCCUGCCCAUGACGGGCCUCUGGCUGCUCUUGCCUUCAACUCCACCGGCUCGAAGCUGGCAAGUGCUUCCGAAAAAGGCACAGUCAUUCGUGUAUUUUCCAUUCCUGGGGGGCAAAAGCUCUAUGAAUUCCGGCGCGGGAUGAAAAGGUAUGUGAACAUCAGCUCUCUAGUGUUCAGCAUGGAUUCCCAGUUCCUCUGUGCUUCCAGCAACACGGAGACUGUGCACAUCUUUAAACUGGAGCAUCUCACUGACAGCCGGCCAGAAGAGCCUCCAACCUGGAGCGGUUACAUGGGAAAGAUGUUCCAGGCUGCUACCAACUACCUCCCUGCUCAGGUAUCAGGCAUGAUGAACCAGGAUCGAGCCUUUGCCACUGUCCGCCUGAACAUCUCUGGACAAAGGAACAUCUGUGCCCUCUCCACGAUUCAGAAGCUGCCUCGACUGUUGGUGACUACGUCAGAUGGACAUCUCUAUAUCUAUAACCUGGACCCACAAGAUGGAGGGGAGUGUGUCUUAAUUAAGAAACACAGUCUGCUUGGCUCAGGAAAGAUGGAGGAGAACACAGAAAACGAUCUUCGGCCUCCAUUACCUCAAUCUUAUGCAGCAACUGUAGCCAGACAAAGUACAGUGCCUUCAACUUCGACCAUGCCGGGUUAUUCGGAGGACGGUGGUGCCCUGCGAGGAGAGGUUAUCCCAGAGCAUGAGUUUGCAACUGGACCAGUGUGUCUUGAUGACGAGAAUGAGUUUCCUCCUGUGAGCAUUCGGGACCCCUAAAACUGCAGUUCAGCCCUCAUGCUAAGAAGAAAGUAUUAACUUCUUACAGAAGAGAUACUGUUGCCCCCACCUUGUCCCAGCUCACUGUGAAGCCUAAAAUAACUAAUUAAGUUAUAGGGACAGUGCCAGGAAAAGUACACCCCCACUAAAUGGCAGCUAGGGAUGGGGCAAAGAGGAUCAAACCUAGUAAUUUGAGAUGGAUCUGAACAAACUAUUUGAAUGAAGUGCAGAUGCAGCAUGACGUUCAGAUCCAGAUCUGACCUUUGUGCCUUGCGCAGAUUUCUAGCAUUACCAGGAAUAGCUUUAACUUGAACAAUACCAUCACAUAGAAAUAAAAAUGUAAUACUCCCUGUUGCAUUUAUAGUCAGUUGUAUUAGUUUAUGGAAUGCAACUGGCACAUACCUGAACCUCACCAGUCUCUUCAUUUCCAAGCUAAUUGAAAAGAAAACUCCUUUUCCAUGUACAAAGAUGAAAGGCAUAACAGUUUUAAACCAUUUUAUGAUUUUUAUGUGGCAAUUUCUCAGUUACUGUUGGAAGAAGAUGCUGGCUUUUUAAAAUCUAACUUAAGCCUGGCAGUGUCUCUCCUGUUCCUCUUCCUAUUACACAAGCAUUUAUUAUGUUAAGUGUCUAACCCCUAAAUGGACAGAUGUUGGUACUGUGCUAUGAUCUGGUUGUAAUCAGCAGUGUCUUCGUAAUAGUAAUGCAUUAAUACAGCAGAAUAUUGUAAUGGAUUUCAAGUUGUAGACUUGGCAGAGUUUUGAAUCCCUUACUCAGUUUUUACAUAUCCUGCUGUUGGAGUUUUGCCUGAAAGGGAGGAAGUAAAAACUUUUAUCGGGAUCCCAGGAUUUGUUCCAUAUGCUGAGGCUGACCUCUGUGAGGCAUUUUCCUAUUAACUGAUGCAAAGUGUUAUUUAGAUAAAAGAUGACUAGCUCAUGACUCCCUUUGAAACAACACUGCCUAAAUCCAACUCAAGUUGCAUAAACCUUAGACCAAUUCUCUUUUGUUACCUGUAACAUAACCUGCUGCAAACCGAGAACAAGAGUUUUCUAGUUGUCCGACUCCGUUACCCAAGAAGGAUAUUUAAAAUGUCCCUCCUCUGGUCAAAGUCGUGUGGCCGCGGAGAAGCUGGUGGCCCAGCCCCCUGGAAGGAGCAGCAGGGCCAGAGAGAAAUCCUUUGCUUCCUUCUGAUGAACCUGCUCUUGAACAUGUGGUUUGGGGACAAGCAAAUGCCAGCAAGCAGGAAUCACGCUGCUCCUGAAUAAGCCUUCCUGCUGGGACUAUGCCGUAUAAAAGCAGCCCCAAACCCCUGCUGUACAACAGCAGGCGCUUUAUUAAAUGAACUUUGAUCUGUCAAAAUCCUGUGCUGUAAUUAACCUGACAGAGCAACUUACAUGUGUAACGUUAGGGAGGAGGUGGUGUGGGAGGGAAGGCGCUUUCCAAAAAUACUCCCUGAUAAGGUGGCUUAGCAAUUGGAGCUUCCAGAUAAAGUCUCUGCAGCUAGGACGUCAGUUUUGCCCCUCCGUUGCUGACAGUAAUGUGUUUUGCAUCUGGUCUACCAGCUAGUGCGGCGCUGGCUCCUGCUGCGUUAGUGCGUACAGAGAGUUGGUCGGGAUGUUUUGAUGCUCUGAAUUUCACUGAACUUCGCUGUUUUCUCAGCACUGAGAUGUUCAGUCUGAGUGACGCAUUCAAGGGGGGUUUCAGGCAUCGGUCACUUCUGUGCGGAGAAGGAGGGAGAGAAAACCUGACCUUAUCCAACAAAAAUGUUUUGACAGCAUUCUGCUUUGCGGAAACAUGGGAAGGGUUUUGUUUGUUUUCCAGUGUGCAACAAAAAGACCUUUAAAAACCUCAAAACUUGUGACAAAAUGGAAUAUUCACCCACAGCCCACGCCACGAGUAUGGCUUUGAACUUAGACAUACUUUUGGAGAAACAGCAGUGCUUAGACCCAGCAGUUCCUCUCCAUUUUGAAACAUCUUGCCUUCCCCUGACCUCAAGCAAGACUUCAGAGGCUCAGCUGUUAAGAGUGAGGAAAAGCAGCUUCAGUCUAACAUAAAAUCUGUUGCUGACUGUCGAAAACUGCCUGUUCAUUAAACAGAAGGAGGGACAGAUCAGAGAAGAGAAGAGAAGCCCAAGGAGGGCUCAUAAAAAAUGGCCUCAACAAGAGCGAAUGUGGAUGUUGCUACUGAUUUUGCCAGGACUGCUGAAGGAUCCUGCGGCAAGAGGUUAAACAAGUUCAGUUACGUCUCUUGCUUGCAUUGAUGGGGUGGAUUAAGUGCUUUCAGGUCUGCUGUUGAUCUUACGCAGAAAGGACGCGGGUGUUAUUGAGAUGGACAGCGGGCUAAAGCCUCAGGUGAGGAGGUGGUGCCGUGCUGGAGAGGCGCUGGGAGGAGGCUGCGUCGCCCUUGCUCUGCAUGGUCAGAAGGCUUUGUGGGAUGGGAAGAGCAAACCCAGCUCUGGCUGUAAAUGAUUGCGGCGAUUACGGCUGUUUUCUGGUUACCUGCCUGAGCAGCUGCCGCUUUUCUGUGGGUUUAUCGGUGUCGGUGAGGUAUCCAGCAGUGUUGGGAGCUGUUGGUGUGUGCUUCGGGUCAGGCAGGGCACUGCUUGGCCAGCUCCGCUUUCGGGAGCCACCGUAGUGGCUCUCCCCACCCAAGGCAUGGUCAGAACAGUUUUGGGGUAGUGCUGUGAGGUUUGACAAAAGAAAUCUUACAGGAUUCAGCAAGCAAGAUGGCCUGUGUGGACCUGAGGAAUGCAACGAGGGGAUCUUCUUAAAACUUCUGGGAUUCGGUAGGAAAGGUGAUUUCUUCCAGGAGAUUGCUCGAUGCUUUUGCAGGCAUACGUGAUCCGUCCUGCGUUUGGCUGCACGCUGAAGCUUGUCAUCUUCGGGACCAGAGUUGAUGUGAAGACUUUAUCGGGAGAGCCAUUUCAUUAAGUCAGGCUAGAUUGCAUACAGCAGUCAGCUCUUCAAAGACAGCUUCCCCUCACCGAUACACAGCUGGCUGUUAGCAGAGGAAAGGCCAUAGAUUUUGCACUGAAGCGCUACUAAUAAUCAUGUUUCACGGGGGAUGAGCAAGUUUGGCAGAACCUGACUGGCCUCUUCUUCCACACAGCAGCUCCUGCCCCGGUAGCUCAGACAGGCAUUUUGGGCAGCUGGGGCUUGCAGGAUUAAGCCCAGCUUAUCAGUACAUUAUCUGAGGUCCCUUGGGAAACAUGCAAUCCAGGGCCAAUGUUUUGUGCUUCAAAACUGGGCAAGCGAUGGUUCUGAAGCCCAUGGAGAGACGGCUCCCAGGAGGAGGAGCUGGCACAGACCCUCCUGCAGCUGGGGCUGUGGGAAUCGCAUCCGAAAUGCUGGGAGACGCAGGUCACGUCUAGCAAGGCUGGAACUGAUAAAGGGGAGAGCUGUGCCUUGGCUCACGAUAAUCUUGUGCCGUGGAGGUCAGCCGGGCAAAGCGAAGAGGUCAUGAUGAGAAGCAAACAUCCGCGCUUAGGACAGCUGCUGGGAAGUGCUUUGGAAAAGCCAGGAAUUUCGAAGAACAGAUUUGUGAGUCCCCAAGACGAGAAAAAAAAAAAAUCCAAGGUGGGCCACUGCUUUUUCCUACAGUAUGUUUAAGUGAAUACCUGGCCCCGCUAGCCCCUUGUUUUAAUCCGUGUCUGGGUGGGGUGUCAAUGUACUGUAUGCACAUCGCUAUAUUUAACAAACUAUAUGUUAGAACCACAAUGUAAAUGCUAAUUUAAUCAGAUUUGUAUGUAACCAGAAUUUUAUAUACCUGUUUUACCCUUUUCUAAUUUAUGCUGGUUUAUGUGUAUAAAUGUACUUAUAGGAAGAUAUAUUAAACUUAUGUCUUUGUACAGUAUAUACAUACUAUUUUACCCAGGCAAAGUAUUUUUGCAGUGAUAUUAGAGAAGAUGCCAUUUGCUAUGUUUAAAGACAGAAUAAAGUCACGGUCUGUCCCUGGCA